CCAAGGAGUCUAACAUGUGCGCAAGUCAUUGGGUCUUACGAAACCUAAAGGCGCAAUGAAAGUGAAGGCAGCCUCGGGUUUGCCUAGGUAGGAUCCUUCCCACGAGGGAAGGCGCACUACCGGCCCGUCUCGUCCGCUUUGCGGUAAGGCGGAGCAAGAGCGUACACGUUGGGACCCGAAAGAUGGUGAACUAUGCCUGAGUAGGACGAAGCCAGAGGAAACUCUGGUGGAAGUCCGUAGCGAUUCUGACGUGCAAAUCGAUCGUCGAACUUGGGUAUAGGGGCGAAAGACUAAUCGAACCAUCUA
rnacentral:rRNA from 1 species